UGGCUGUCGUCAGCUCGUGUCGUGAGAUGUUGGGUUAAGUCCCGUAACGAGCGCAACCCUUGUCCUUAGUUACCAGCACGUUAUGGUGGGCACUCUAAGGAGACUGCCGGUGACAAACCGGAGGAAGGUGGGGAUGACGUCAAGUCAUCAUGGCCCUUACGGCCAGGGCUACACACGUGCUACAAUGGUCGGUACAAAGGGUUGCCAAGCCGCGAGGUGGAGCUAAUCCCAUAAAACCGAUCGUAGUCCGGAUCGCAGUCUGCAACUCGACUGCGUGAAGUCGGAAUCGCUAGUAAUCGUGAAUCAA
rnacentral:rRNA from 1 species